CUUGUUGGUGAGGUAAAAGCUCACCAAGGCGACGAUCUGUAGCGGGUCUGAGAGGAUGAUCCGCCACACUGGAACUGAGACACGGUCCAGACUCCUACGGGAGGCAGCAGUGGGGAAUUUUGGACAAUGGGGGCAACCCUGAUCCAGCCAUGCCGCGUGAGUGAAGAAGGCCUUCGGGUUGUAAAGCUCUUUCAGCCGGGAAGAAAACGCAUGGGUUAAUACCCUGUGUGGAUGACGGUACCGGAAUAAGAAGCACCGGCUAACUACGUGCCAGCAGCCGCGGUAAUACGUAGGGUGCGAGCGUUAAUCGGAAUUACUGGGCGUAAAGCGUGCGCAGGCGGUUUUGUAAGACAGGCGUGAAAUCCCCGGGCUUAACCUGGGAACUGCGUUUGGGACUGCAAGGCUAGAGUACGGCAGAGGGGGGUGGAAUUCCACGUGUAGCAGUGAAAUGCGUGAGAUGUGGAGGAACACCAAUGGCGAAGGCAGCCCCCUGGGUCGAUACUGACGCUCAUGCACGAAAGCGUGGGUAGCAAACAGGAUUAGAUACCCUGGUAGUCCACGCCCUAAACGAUGUCAACUAGGUGUUGGGAGGGUAAAACCUUUUAGUACCGGAGCUAACGCGUGAAGUUGACCGCCUGGGGAGUACGGCCGCAAGGUUAAAACUCAAAGGAAUUGACGGGGACCCGCACAAGCGGUGGAUGAUGUGGAUUAAUUCGAUGCAACGCGAAAAACCUUACCUACCCUUGACAUGCCAAGAACUUUCCAGAGAUGGAUUGGUGCCCGAAAGGGAACUUGGACACAGGUGCUGCAUGGCUGUCGUCAGCUCGUGUCGUGAGAUGUUGGGUUAAGUCCCGCAACGAGCCAACCCUUGUCGUUAAUUGCCAUCAUUUAGUUGGGCACUUUAACGAGACUGCCGGUGACAAACCGGAGGAAGGUGGGGAUGACGUCAAGUCCUCAUGGCCCUUAUGGGUAGGGCUUCACACGUCAUACAAUGGUCGGUACAAAGGGUCGCCAAGCCGCGAGGUGGAGCCAAUCCCAGAAAGCCGAUCGUAGUCCGGAUCGCAGUCUGCAACUCGACUGCGUGAAGUCGGAAUCGCUAGUAAUCGUGGAUCAGAAUGUCACGGUGAAUACGUUCCCGGGUCUUGUACACACCGCCCGUCACACCAUGGGAGCGGGUUCCGCCAGAAGUAGGUAGCCUAACCGCAAGGAGGGCGCUUACCACGGCGGGGUUCGUGACUGGGGUGAAGUCGAAACAAGGUA
rnacentral:rRNA from 1 species